AGUAGACGACUGGGUUGAUAGGCCGGAUCUGGAAGCACGGUAACGUGUGGAGGUGACCGGUACUAAUAGGCCGAGGGCUUGUCCAU
rnacentral:rRNA from 1 species